rnacentral:lncRNA from 1 species
AGACAUCCAGCAGCUCUGUAAACACUGGGUGAGCAGGGCUGUCUGCCUGCAAUUCCAGCCUCCAAAGGCUGAGGUGGGAUCCUCCAGCAAGGAAGCUACAAAGACUAGACUUCACUGUGCUUUGGGUUUGACGGAGAGACCUGCCUCAACACACCAAAAAAUGGCAUCGGAUCCCAUUACUGAUGGUUGUGAGCCACUAUGUGGUUGCUGGAAAUUUAACUCAGGACCUCUGGAAGAGCAGUCAGUGCUCUUAACCGCUGAGUGGUCUCUCCAGCGCCUAUAUUUAUUUUUUAGGGUUUCUCUGUGUAUCCCUGGUUGUCCUGAAACUCACUCUGUAGACCAGGUGGCCUCGAACUCAGAAAUCCGCCUGCCUCUGCCUCCUGAGUGCUGGAUUAAAGGCGUGCGCCACCACGCCCAGCUCUGGAACUCACAUCUUAUCUCAGCCUUCUGAGUUCUAGGACUGCAGGUGACUGUCAAGCUUUUGGCUUGUUUCUGAAGUCAAGUUUUAGUUCCUGGAUGCAUCUUGGUAGGGAAAAGGCGGAGAUCUGCAAAGGAGAAAUGUUCCUUUUCCUGCGUUACAAGGGAGAAGAAGACUCCGCUGAGAUGUCUGUAUCACAUGUGUACGAAUCACAUGUUACAGAAGACAAAAUUGAUUUGGGGUUUUCUGCUGCAUCCUAGAUUGAGGAAAUGAGCAGGAUUCUAAUUCUUUAGGAGCAACAAGAAAUGGACUACAUGGCUGCUUUUUUCCCUG